rnacentral:rRNA from 1 species
CCUACGGGAGGCAGCAGUGGGGAAUAUUGGACAAUGGGGGCAACCCUGAUCCAGCCAUGCCGCGUGUGUGAAGAAGGCCCUCGGGUUGUAAAGCACUUUCAGUGAGGAAGAACGCCUGGUGGUUCAUACCCAUCAGGAAAGACAUCACUCACAGAAGAAGCACCGGCUAACUCCGUGCCAGCAGCCGCGGUAAUACGGAGGGUGCGAGCGUUAAUCGGAAUUACUGGGCGUAAAGCGCGCGUAGGUGGCUUGAUAAGCCGGUUGUGAAAGCCCCGGGCUCAACCUGGGAACGGCAUCCGGAACUGUCAAGCUAGAGUGCAGGAGAGGAAGGUAGAAUUCCCGGUGUAGCGGUGAAAUGCGUAGAGAUCGGGAGGAAUACCAGUGGCGAAGGCGGCCUUCUGGACUGACACUGACACUGAGGUGCGAAAGCGUGGGUAGCAAACAGGAUUAGAUACCCCGGUAGUC